GGGGUACCAGUACAGAGUCAAUGUGGAGGCUAUAUACAGGAGAUACCAGUACAGAGUCAAUGUGGAGGCUAUAUACAGGGGGUACCAGUACAGAGUCAAUGUGGAGGCUAUAUACAGGGGAUACCAGUACAGAGUCAAUGUGGAGGCUAUAUACAGGAGAUACCAGUACAGAGUCAAUGUGGAGGCUAUAUACAGGGGGUACCAGUACAGGGGGUACCAGUACAGAGUCAAUGUGGAGGCUAUAUACAGGGGGUACCAGUACAGAGUCAAUGUGGAGGCUAUAUACAGGGGGUACCAGUACAGAGUCAAUGUGGAGGCUAUAUACAGGGGGGUACCAGUACAGAGUCAAUGUGGAGGCUAUAUACAGGGGGUACCGGUACAGAGUCAAUGUGGAGGCUAUAUACAGGGGGUACCAGUACAGAGUCAAUGUGGAGGCUAUAUACAGUUGAGGUAACCUGUAAUUUGUACAUGUCGGUGGGGGUGAAGUGACUAUGCAAUAAACAGCGAGUAGCAGCAGAGGGGGGGAUCAAUGUAAAUUGUAGCGAUUGUAUUAAUUGUUCAGCAGUCUUAUGGCUUUGGUUGAGGAGGCUUUUGGUCCCAGACUUGGUGCUCCGGUACCACUUGAUGUGUG
ensembl:lncRNA